GCGGAAGUGGCGAAAUUGGUAGACGCACCAGAUUUAGGUUCUGGCGCCUUAUUAGGUUUGCGAGUUCAAAUCUCGCCUUCCGUA
rnacentral:tRNA from 1 species